rnacentral:rRNA from 1 species
GAUGAACGCUAGCUACAGGCUUAACACAUGCAAGUCGAGGGGAAACGAUAUUGGAAGCUUGCUUCUGAUAGGCGUCGACCGGCGCACGGGUGAGUAACACGUAUCCAACCUGCCGUCUACUCUUGGACAGCCUUCUGAAAGGAAGAUUAAUACAAGAUGGCAUCAUGAGUCCGCAUGUUCACAUGAUUAAAGGUAUUCCGGUAGACGAUGGGGAUGCGUUCCAUUAGAUAGUAGGCGGGGUAACGGCCCACCUAGUCUUCGAUGGAUAGGGGUUCUGAGAGGAAGGUCCCCCACAUUGGAACUGAGACACGGUCCAAACUCCUACGGGAGGCAGCAGUGGGGAAUAUUGGUCAAUGGGCGAGAGCCUGAACCAGCCAAGUAGCGUGAAGGAUGACUGCCCUAUGGGUUGUAAACUUCUUUUAUAAAGGAAUAAAGUCGGGUAUGCAUACCCGUUUGCAUGUACUUUAUGAAUAAGGAUCGGCUAACUCCGUGCCAG